AACAAUCUGCACAAAACCACAUCCAAUCACAGCCAAAACAGCAUAAAGAAUCGUCCCAAAUAAAAGAGGAGUAUAAACAGACAUCUUUCUCUUUUUCUUCCUCACACUUUUUCUCUUUAACUUUCCCUCUUUCUCUCUUUCUCUUUCUUCU
rnacentral:ribozyme from 13 species